AUACAUUGAAAAAUUUACCUUUCCAAGAAGAUGCUGCUAGUGUCACUAUUAUAGGAUUAUGGUAAGAGAUUAGUGGUUGUUCAUAUAUUGUUUCCACAUGGCUCCACUUGAUUACCCACUCAUAGUUUCCAAAUACUCUAUCCAGUCUGCUACAUACUCUAUCUACUCCAGGCUGUUUGUUUAUCCAGGUAUGUAAUCACCCUUCCAAGGUAGCUCUGAUAGUCCUGCUUGCUGUAUACAUUGACUAAACUCUUGAGUCUCAGAAUAUCUAACAAGAUUACAUGAUUAUCUAUCCUUGGCAUAUAAUACAACAUUGAAAUCUCCAGCAACUAACCAUGCAUAUGUUAUAGCUGAUGAAUAGGCCUGUA
rnacentral:lncRNA from 1 species